GCUCCAGUGGCGCAAUCGGUUAGCGCGCGGUACUUAUAAUGCCGAGGUUGUGAGUUCGACCCUCACCUGGAGCA